rnacentral:rRNA from 1 species
AUUGAACGCUGGCGGCAUGCUUUACACAUGCAAGUCGAACGGCAGCGCGGGCUUCGGCCUGGCGGCGAGUGGCGAACGGGUGAGUAAUGCAUCGGAACGUGCCCAGUAGUGGGGGAUAGCCCGGCGAAAGCCGGAUUAAUACCGCAUACGACCUGAGGGUGAAAGCGGGGGACCGAAAGGCCUCGCGCUAUUGGAGCGGCCGAUGUCGGAUUAGCUAGUUGGUGGGGUAAAGGCUUACCAAGGCGACGAUCCGUAGCUGGUCUGAGAGGACGACCAGCCACACUGGGACUGAGACACGGCCCAGACUCCUACGGGAGGCAGCAGUGGGGAAUUUUGGACAAUGGGGGCAACCCUGAUCCAGCCAUGCCGCGUGCGGGAAGAAGGCCUUCGGGUUGUAAAACGCUUUUGUGCGGGAAGAAAUCCUCUGGGCUAAUACCCCGGGGGGAUGACGGUACCGGAAGAAUAAGCACCGGCUAACUACGUG